rnacentral:rRNA from 1 species
CAUCGCCUCUUGAUUGUCAUAAGAGGUCCAGCCUGCCCAGUGACCAGUUUAACGGCCGCGGUACCCUAACCGUGCGAAGGUAGCAUAAUCACUUGUUUCUUAAAUAGAGACUAGUAUCAACGGCAUCACGAAGACUACACUGUCUCCCCCCUAAAAUCAAUGAAACUAAUCCCCUCGUGAAGAAGCGAGAAUACAAACAUAAGACGAGAAGACCCCAUGGAGCUUUAAACGAACCCCAACUGCUCCCCCCACUAACCAUAGAAACUGAGCAUUAAUGGUGGAUAGUUUUCGGUUGGGGUGACCGCGGAGUAAAACAAAACCUCCACAAUGAACGUAAUAAAACACUAAUAUAAGAACCACAAUUCUAAUAAUCAAAACCUGACAUAAUUUGACCCAAACACUUGAUCAAUGAACCAAGUUACCCUGGGGAUAACAGCGCAAUCCAUCUUAAGAGCCCCUAUCGACAAAUGGGUUUACGACCUCGAUGUUGGAUCAGGGUAUCCUAGUGGUGCAGCCGCUACUAACGGUUCGUUUGUUCAACGAUUAAAACCCU